AUUAGAUUGGAGAUGGCUUCUU
rnacentral:miRNA from 1 species